rnacentral:tRNA from 2 species
GGGGUAGUAGCUUAGCCAGGAAAAGCAUUGGACUCCAAAUCCAAAGAUCGCAGGUUCAAAUCCUGCCUACCCCG